CGGGUGAGUAACACGUGAGUAACCUGCCCUUGACUCUGGGAUAAGCGCUGGAAACGGCGUCUAAUACCGGAUACGACCUGCCCCGGCAUCGGGUGCGGGUGGAAAGUUUUUCGGUCAAGGAUGGACUCGCGGCCUAUCAGGUAGUUGGUGAGGUAAUGGCUCACCAAGCCGACGACGGGUAGCCGGCCUGAGAGGGUGACCGGCCACACUGGGACUGAGACACGGCCCAGACUCCUACGGGAGGCAGCAGUGGGGAAUAUUGCACAAUGGGCGAAAGCCUGAUGCAGCAACGCCGCGUGGGGGAUGACGGCCUUCGGGUUGUAAACCUCUUUUAGUAGGGAAGAAGGGCUUCGGCUUGACGGUACCUGCAGAAAAAGCACCGGCUAACUACGUGCCAGCGCCGCGGUAAUACGUAGGGUGCAAGCGUUGUCCGGAAUUAUUGGGCGUAAAGAGCUCGUAGGCGGUUUGUCGCGUCUGCUGUGAAAACCCGAGGCUCAACCUCGGGCCUGCAGUGGGUACGGGCAGACUAGAGUGCGGUAGGGGAGAAUGGAAUUCCUGGUGUAGCGGUGGAAUGCGCAGAUAUCAGGAGGAACACCGAUGGCGAAGGCAGUUCUCUGGGCCGUUACUGACGCUGAGGAGCGAAAGCGUGGGGAGCGAACAGGAUUAGAUACCC
rnacentral:rRNA from 1 species